rnacentral:SRP_RNA from 1 species
GCUGGGUGUGGUGGUGCAUGCCUGUAGUCCUAGCUACUCGGGAGGCUGAGGCACGAGGAUCACUUGAGUCCAGGAGUCUGAGGCUGCAGUGGAGCUGUGAUAGUACCACUGCACCCCAGCCUGGGCAACACAGUGAGACCUGUCUCUA